rnacentral:rRNA from 1 species
CACGUAGGGCGCAAGCGUUGUCCGGAAUUAUUGGGCGUAAAGAGCUCGUAGGUGGUUUGUUACGUCUGCUGUGAAAACCUAGGGCUUAACCCUGGGCUUGCAGUGGAUACGGGCAGACUAGAGGUAGGUAGGGGAGAAUGGAAUUCCUGGUGUAGCGGUGAAAUGCGCAGAUAUCAGGAGGAACACCAGUGGCGAAGGCGGUGGUCUGGGCCGGAACUGACGCUGUAGAGCGAAAGCGUGGGGAGCGAACAGG